GAACAGAUCAAAAUGCAGGUGGUUAAGGUUCAUUUAGCCAGGGUUGUACCUAGACCAGAGUGACCGCAAAAUUUCACAACACAGUUUUGGUAAUUAUAACCACUUAUAGUGAUGACAAGAACAAGUUGUUCAACUACUAGAGGCACAUGUCACAAACUACUCAAGUUGGAGCAAUCAUUGCAUUCAAUAAGAGCAAAAACCAUUCCUAGAUGGACCGGUAGUACAAACCCAGCCCUAACAAGAAGAGAUCACUAACCAUAAGGAUACCUAGACUCUUUAUAUUAACAGAAAAAUAACAGAACUGUUUUUGAGUUGACUGACAAUCAAAUAAAACCAUUGCAACAGCCAGAAACAUGUGAAGGCCAUUUUAGCUUAUGAAUAUAAUCAUAAUUAACACAUUUAACUGUCACAUAAAAACAGUGCUUAUCUUCAAAGUCAUAUCACCAAGUAAGCUCCCAUGAAAAUAAAUAAAAUGAACACUUACAGGAUGUCGUGGGUCAGCAAGCA
rnacentral:misc_RNA from 1 species